rnacentral:rRNA from 1 species
AACGAACGCUGGCGGCAUGCCUAACGCAUGCAAGUCGAACGAGACCUUCGGGUCUAGUGGCGCACGGGUGCGUAACGCGUGGGAAUCUGCCCUUGGGUUCGGAAUAACAGUUGGAAACGACUGCUAAUACCGGAUGAUGACGUAAGUCCAAAGAUUUAUCGCCCAAGGAUGAGCCCGCGUAGGAUUAGCUAGUUGGUGAGGUAAAGGCUCACCAAGGCGACGAUCCUUAGCUGGUCUGAGAGGAUGAUCAGCCACACUGGGACUGAGACACGGCCCAGACUCCUACGGGAGGCAGCAGUGGGGAAUAUUGGACAAUGGGCGAAAGCCUGAUCCAGCAAUGCCGCGUGAGUGAUGAAGGCCUUAGGGUUGUAAAGCUCUUUUACCCGGGAUGAUAAUGACAGUACCGGGAGAAUAAGCUCCGGCUAACUCCGU